rnacentral:rRNA from 1 species
UACGUAGGGGGCUAGCGUUGCUCGGAAUCACUGGGCGUAAAGGGUGCGUAGGCGGGUUUUUAAGUCAGGGGUGAAAUCCCGGAGCUCAACUCCAGAACUGCCUUUGAUACUGAAGAUCUUGAGUCCGGGAGAGGUGAGUGGAACUGCGAGUGUAGAGGUGAAAUUCGUAGAUAUUCGCAAGAACACCAGUGGCGAAGGCGGCUCACUGGCCCGGUACUGACGCUGAGGCACGAAAGCGUGGGGAGCAAACAGG